AGAGGUUGAGCCUAGCUCCGCUGACAAAGUAAGACGGCAUGAAGUACACUGCUCUCGAUACCGAUCCCUUAGUAUUGGCUGGACUGAACAGCGCAACCCUGUUGGCCUGUUAAUCCACAGUGGCAACGGAAAAACAGCGAUUUUAUCAACGGCCGAAGAGUAUCCAAGGUAGACUACUUCAAUUGGGACUCCUACAGCCUCGACCAUCCAUCUCAGGGUCAGGCGAUACGGAGACUCCAGAGGGAAUUCGUAAACGCCUGGCGAUGGCGAGUUUUCG
rnacentral:lncRNA from 1 species